AUUUUUUCGAGCGCGAGCAAACUGUAGCUUAAAUAAACCAAUGUUUAUGAAUUCAAAGUGAACGCAUAAAUCAUCCACCUCUGUAACCAACAUAAUUUAAUCACGAUCCUAUUAUAUUUAAUUAUGUUUCUAUAGGCCAGGUUCAUCAGUGUAACUGUGCAACGGAACUGAGAAUAAAUAAUCCAAAUUCGACUACUCAUUAAGUAUGCAG
rnacentral:lncRNA from 1 species